AACGAACGCUGGCGGCGCGUCUUAACCAUGCAAGUCGAGCGGCAGGCAGCAAUGCCGAGAGCGGCGGACUGGUGAGUAACACGUGGAUAACGUACCCCGAUGUCCGGGACAGCCUGUAGAAAUAGAGGGUAAUACCGGAUAGAUCACUGUUUACGUGAGGUAGACAGCGGGAAAGGAGCUUCGGCUCCGCGACGGGAUCGGUCUGCGGCCCAUCAGCUGGACGGCGGGGUAAAGGCCCGCCGUGGCGAGGACGGGUAUCCGGCCUGAGAGGGCGGACGGACACCUUGGGACUGAGAUACGGCCCCGACUCCUACGGGAGGCAGCAGGUAAGAAUAUUCCGCAAUGGGGGGAACCCUGACGGAGCGACGCCGCGUGAACGAAGAAGGCCGGAAGGUUGUAAAGUUCUUUUCUGUCCGAGGAAUAAGUUUCGGAGGAAAUGCCGGGACGGUGACGGUAGGGCAGGAAUAAGCACCGGCUAAUUACGUG
rnacentral:rRNA from 1 species